GAUGAACGCUAGCGGCAGGCUUAAUACAUGCAAGUCGAGGGACAGCACAGGUAGCAAUACUGGGUGGUAACCGGCAAACGGGUGCGGAACACGUACACAACCUUCCUUUAAGUGGGGGAUAGCCCAGAGAAAUUUGGAUUAAUACCCCGUAAUAUAGUUGAAUGGCAUCAUUUGAUUAUUAUAGCUACGGCGCUUAAUGAUGGGUGUGCGGCUGAUUAGAUAGUUGGCGGGGUAACGGCCCACCAAGUCUACGAUCAGUAGCUGAUGUGAGAGCAGGAGCAGCCACACGGGCACUGGGACACGGGCCCGACUCCUACGGGAGGCAGCAGUAAGGAAUAUUGGUCAAUGGACGCAAGUCUGAACCAGCCAUGCCGCGUGAAGGAUUAAGGUCCUCUGGAUUGUAAACUUCUUUUAUUUGGGACGAAAAAGGGCCUUUCUAGGUCAACUGACGGUACCAGAUGAAUAAGCACCGGCUAACUCCGUGCCAGCCGCCGCCGUAACAC
rnacentral:rRNA from 1 species